GAAAAAGACUUCAAAAGCUCCAGUGGUACAUAUGGAGAGGGCUAUUCAUGAGCCAAGGUAUAUUCACUGGCCUGCUUUUGUUGAAGUUUCCGUUCCUUUGCAAUCUUUGUUUGAUUAUCAAAAAUGGGAUAAACUGUGUCCUGACACUGAAGGAGUGUAUAUGGAUUUAGUUCAAGAGUUCUAUAAGAAUUUGAGGGUUGAU
rnacentral:misc_RNA from 1 species